CUCGGCAACGGAUAUCUCGGCUAUCGCAUCGAUGAAGAACGUAGCGAAAUGCGAUACUUGGUGUGAAUUGCAGAAUCCCGUGAACCAUCGAGUCUUUGAACGCAAGUUGCGCCCGAAGCCAUUAGGCUGAGGGCACGUCUGCCUGGGCGUCACGC
rnacentral:rRNA from 1 species